rnacentral:rRNA from 1 species
UGGGGAAUAUCGCGCAAUGGGCGAAAGCCUGACGCAGCGACGCCGCGUGAGGGAUGAAGGCCUUCGGGUUGUAAACCUCUUUCAGCACCGACGAAGCGGAAGUGACGGUAGGUGCAGAAGAAGCGCCGGCUAACUACGUGCCAGCAGCCGCGGUAAUACGUAGGGCGCAAGCGUUGUCCGGAAUUAUUGGGCGUAAAGAGCUCGUAGGCGGUUUGUCGCGUCUGUCGUGAAAGCUUGGGGCUUAACCCAAGUCUGCGGUGGAUACGGGCAGACUAGAGGCAGGUAGGGGAGAACGGAAUUCCCGGUGUAGCGGUGAAAUGCGCAGAUAUCGGGAGGAACACCGGUGGCGAAGGCGGUUCUCUGGGCCUGUACUGACGCUGAGGAGCGAAAGCGUGGGGAGCGAACAG